rnacentral:rRNA from 1 species
GACAGAGGGGGCAAGCGUUGCUCGGAAUUACUGGGCGUAAAGGGCGCGUAGGCGGGAUGGCAAGUCGGUCGUGAAAUCCCUCGGCUCAACUGAGGAUCGUCGAUCGAUACUGCCGUUCUUGAGGAUUGCAGAGGAGACUGGAAUUCCCGGUGUAGCGGUGAAAUGUGUAGAGAUCGGGAGGAACACCGGUGGCGAAGGCGGGUCUCUGGGCCGUAACUGACGCUGAGGAGCGAAAGCAUGGGGAGCGAACAGG